rnacentral:rRNA from 1 species
GACGAACGCUGGCGGCGUGCUUAACACAUGCAAGUCGAGCGGUAAGGCCCUUCGGGGGUACACGGAGCGGCGAACGGGUGAGUAACACGUGGGUGACCUGCCCUCAGCUCUGGGGAUAAGCCCGGGAAACUGGGUCUAAUACCGGAUAUGACUCCACGGUGCAUGUCGUGGGGUGGAAAGCCUUGUGCGGCUGAGGAUGGGCCCGCGGCCUAUCAGCUUGUUGGUGGGGUGAUGGCCUACCAAGGCGACGACGGGUAGCCGGCCUGAGAGGGCGACCGGCCACACUGGGACUGAGACACGGCCCAGACU